AGUGAACGCUGGCGGUAGGCCUAACACAUGCAAGUCGAACGGCAGCACAGUAAGAGCUUGCUCUUACGGGUGGCGAGUGGCGGACGGGUGAGGAAUACAUCGGAAUCUACUUUUUCGUGGGGGAUAACGUAGGGAAACUUACGCUAAUACCGCAUACGACCUACGGGUGAGAGCAGGGGAUCUUCGGACCUUGCGCGAUUGAAUGAGCCGAUGUCGGAUUAGCUAGUUGGCGGGGUAAAGGCCCACCAAGGCGACGAUCCGUAGCUGGUCUGAGAGGAUGAUCAGCCACACUGGAACUGAGACACGGUCCAGACUCCUACGGGAGGCAGCAGUGGGGAAUAUUGGACAAAGGGCGCAAGCCUGAUCCAGCCAUACCGCGUGGGUGAAGAAGGCCUUCGGGUUGCAAAGCCCUUUUGUUGGGAAAGAAAAGCAGCAGGUUAAUACCCCGCUGUUCUGACGGUACCCAAAGAAUAAGCACCGGCUAACUUCGUG
rnacentral:rRNA from 1 species